rnacentral:rRNA from 1 species
AGCAGCCGCGGUAAUUCCAGCUCCAAUAGCGUAUAUUAAAGUUGUUGCAGUUAAAAAGCUCGUAGUUGAAUUUCGGGGUUAGUAGGUUGGUCAUGCCUCUGGUAUGUACUGGUCUCACUGAUUCCUCCUUCCUGAUGAACCUUAAUGCCAUUUAUUUGGUGUUUUGGGGAAUUUGGACUGUUACUUUGAAAAAUUAGAGUGUUUAAAGCAAGCUAACGCUUGAAUACAUUAGCAUGGAAUAAUGAAAUAGGACGUUCGAUCCUAUUUUGUUGGUUUCUAGGAUUGACGUAAUGAUUAAUAGGGAUAGUUGGGGGCAUUAGUAUUCAAUUGUCAGAGGUGAAAUUCUUGGAUUUAUUGAAGACUAACUACUGCGAAAGCAUUUGCCAAGGAUGUUUUCAUUAAUCAAGAACGAAAGUUAGGGGAUCGAAGACGAUCAGAUACCGUCGUAGUCUUAACCAUAAACUAUGCCGACUAGGGAUCGGAUGAUGUUAAUUUUUA